rnacentral:lncRNA from 1 species
UCGAACCAAAACUUCUUGUAACUUGGGUAACAAUGAUGCAUUGCCAAAUGACACUUACUGUCUAUAACAUUAGAAAUAUUCUAAUAUUACUGCUAAUGUUGCAAGAUCCUACAGGGUCACACCCUAUAAUUAAAACGAUUGGAAUACGUAGAAAGAUAGGGUUAUAUUUAACUUGAUGCUCAAAUUAUAUUUGUGAUACCCAAUUGUUGCCCGGGGCCCAAAACCAUUUGCACAGCCCAAAUCAAAUACUAAAAUUAAAUACAAUUGAUCCCAAUAAAACUUGGGCCAAGCUAAACCCAAUUCCAGGGCCCAAUUGACCUAAAACAGCAGAAACCCUAGCAGCAACUAGUAGCACCACAUGCCCCACGUUCGGCAGCCUCCACAUCGUCCCACGUUCAGCACUCCGCGCAUGCCAUACGCUCGUACCUGCAACAACCACGAACUGUAAAGGGUGGAAAAGAGGUUUUCGGAGGUUUUUCUUUUGGUUAUUUUGGCUAUUUAAAGUCAAAUCGAAUCUGUAAGAGGGGUUAGCAAACUUUUGUUAGAAAAAUUUUGUAUUGAAAAAUAUCAAAGAAAAUACAAAAGAGAAAGAAACAAAAAAUAUUUUUGAAGGUAUCUCGUUUUGUUUUUUUUUUUUUUUUUAGAAUCUGUGGGAUUAUUGUUCUUUUUCUUUUUUUUAUUUUCUGUUAUAAAACAAAAACAAAAGGGAAAGCAAAGGAGAGCGUCCUCGUUUCGUCGUCAUCUGGUCGGACAUGGGAGGGGACCGGAACGGCGGAGGAGAACUGCUGCGGCGCGAUUUUGAAUGGCAGAGGAGUUCUCUUUUAGGGGUUUGAAAUGGGUUUUAUUG